CAUCCUCAGGAAUUUGUCCACUUCCUUUGAGAAGGGCUCCUUCAGCCUCUGCCACCUCCAUGCCGGGCACACAUCACCCAGCAUUCAACACUGGUUCUGUGGGUUAAGCUUGGUCUUCAUGUUCGAGGGGCAAGUGCUUUACCGACUCAGCGACCCCCCCAGCCCCAUCUUUCCUCUAUUUUCUUAUAGAAAGCAUGGUCAAAGUGGCAUCUAAAUGCAGCAGCACAGAUUCCAGCUGGACUUGCAGAGAAAACGCAAGGAUCAGGACAGGAAGAUAGAGGAGGGAAGGCGUCAGCGCAUCACUGAAGCAGGACGGCCUUGUGCAGUCAUAGGCAUCCAGGUCUUUUGGUUAGGGAAACCCUGUGGUUUGGGGUGGGAGACCCCACAGAGAAUAUCAGCCUUUCCCCUCUCCUCCCACAGGCCAGCUGGGAGUUCUGGCUAUGUUGUGAGCCUUCCCCACCCAGGGACAAACCUCUCACCACCCCACCCCCGCCUGUCGUGCCUUCAGUUUUCUCUGCUUCCUCUCUUCCCCCUGCUGUGGGCACCCUGUUCUAGCCUCUCAGCUCAUCUCUCUCUGUACCUCCUGUCCUAAUGCUUCCCUCCGAGCUAAGAGUGGGGAGCCCUCUCUAAAGCACCCCUUCCCCUCCUAGGCCUUUUAUCUCCUGUGCUGAGUCUCUGUGCUUGUGCACGUCUGGGAGGCCAGAGGAAGCGACUGUCCGCCAUUCCCCAGAAGGCACCCCCUGGGCUUUGUUUGGUUUUCCUUUCCUUGCUUUCUUUUCCUUCCUUCCUUCUUCUUUGUUGAUGUAGGAGUCUUACUCUGUCGCCCCAGGCUGGCCUUGAACUCAUGGCGACUUGCCUGCCUCUGCCUCCUAAGUGCUGCUUUGAAAGGUAUGUGCCACACACCACCCAGAGUGUUGAUUUGGUGUUUUAAAAUAUUUCUAUACACUUUUCAUUUAUUCUCUAUGUUUCUGUGCUAUAUGUGUAUGUGUGGGCACAUAUGUGCCAGAGUGUUCAUGUAAAGGUCAGAGGACAACGAUGGGAGUCAGUUCUGCCUAUUAUGUAUACCACAGGGACUGAACUCAGGUUGUCACUUUUGAACUGCUGAGCCAUCUUGCCUACCUUUGUUUUUUAUUUUUAUUAUGUGUGUACAUGUGUGCAUGUGUAUAUAUGUUUGUGUAUAUGUGUUUAUGUGUGUGUGUGCCCGUGUAUGUGUGUAUAUAUCUGUGUAUGUGUAUAUAUGUUUGUGUAUAGUGUGUGUAUGUGUAUAUGUAUAUUUGUGUGUAUGUGCCUAUGCGUACAGGUGCGUGCAGAGGUCAGAAGUGGGUGUGGGAUUCCUGGGAGCUGCCCGGUGUGGGUGCCGGGAACUGGACUUGGGUGCUGUGCAAGAACAAUUUUCACACUUAACCACAAGCUAUGGUCCCUGGCUCCCCCACCUGGUUUUCCAGUCAAGGUCUCCCUGGGAUCUGGGGCUUGACCAACAGGCCAAGGGUCUGCAGGCUCCAUUUCCCCAGUGCUGAGCUUAUAAACACAUGCUCCCCUCCUGGGCUUGUAGUGUGUUCAUGUGUGUGUAUACGUGCAUUUUUGUGUGUUAUGUGUGUGCAUGCUGUGUGCUCACAUGUGUAUGCACAUAUUUGUGUCUAUGUGUAAUGUGUGUUAUUGUGUUCAUGUGUGUGUAUGUGUGCACACAUUCUGUGUGCUAUGUGUAUGCAUGCUGUGUGUUCAUGUAUGUGUGAGCAUGUGUUUGUGUGUAUUAUGUGUGGUAUUGUGUUCAUGUAUGUGCGUGUGUGUGCAUUUGUGUAUCUCUUCUAUGUGUUUGUGUGUGUUCAUGCUAAGUGUGUUUGUGUGUGUGCUAUGGGCUACGUUUGUUCGUGUGUAUGUGUAUGCUUGCUUAAGUGUGUUCACGUGUGUGUGCAUGCAUAUGUGGAGGGGAUGUCAGAUAUCCCUUCCUUGAUUGCUCUUCACAUAUUUUAACGAGGCAGAUCUCCUGUUAAACCUGGAGUUUACAGGUUCAGCUACUCAAGCUAGUUAACUUGCCCUGGGAAUUCUGUCUCCCCUCCCAAGGAUUACAGGCAUGCCACUGUGCUCACUUGGUUGGGGACCGGAACUCCAGUCCUCAGGCACUCGUGGUAAUCACUCUCUCUACUAGCCGUCUCCCCAGCCCCCUCUCCCUGCAGCCUGCCUCUGUGACUCCUAACGUGUCAGCACCAUUCACUGUGUACUCCAAUCUGCCUGAAGCUUCAUGUUCCGUCAGCGGCUGGACCUUCCCACAUCACUGUUCAGCAGAAUCUUCCCUUACAGAGAUGAGGACACAGAGGCCUGGCAGGUAGCAGCUCAGCAUCCCUCUACUACCAAGCCUCGGAGCCCUCCGACCGUCUACCCGGGGGCCUGCCUGGCCCUCAGGUCCCCGGCACUCACCUCGAACAGGCCCUGCCGCUUGCUCAGGCUGCCCCCGUCCAGGGUCCAGAAGUAGAUGUGUGAUUUUCCACAGGUGAUCAGCAGGCUGGGAUCAGUGGGGUGGAAGGUAGCCACCAGCACGGCCUCGUUAGAGCACUUUGAUAGACAUAUUCUGAAUGAGGACCUCAGAGCCACCAGAGACCACGCCUCUCCCAUCCCACACAGGACUGCCCUGUGCAGCUUGCUUGCCGAACAGGCAGUAUACCAGCGUGCUUCUGGAGCCCUAUUCUGUUACGCACUGGCUGAGCGCUUUGUAAGACUCAUCUAGUCCCCGGGUCUACUGGAAGAUAAGCACCUUUAGUGCCGCAGUAUCUUUCAUCUGAGGCUCAGAGAAGGUCAACACCUGCCUAAGGCGACACAGCUGUAGACCAGCUGUGUCCAGAUCCAGUUCACGGACUUUCUUAUCCCCUUCUCCUUUCCUCAAGAGGGGCCCCAAUCUAGAAUCAAGUUUCCUGCUCUCAGCCUGGCCAGCCAUGUGAUCUUGGGCAAAUAUUUAUCUUCCCAUCACACCCUCCUACCCCCGCCCUGCACCUUGAGAGAGACUUUCACUAUGCCGCCCUGACUGUACUGAAACUCACCAUGCGGACCAGGCUGCCCAUGCCCACGGUGAUCCACCUCCUCCCAAGUGCUGGGGGCAAAGGCGCGCGCCACUGUGCCCAGCUAUCCCUUUUUCUUGCAAGAGGAAGUCUUGUAGUUCAGACCAGACUCAGACCCAUGAUCUUUGCCCGCUUCCCCCUGCAUUCUGGGACUCAAGGAGUAUCUUAUAGUACCUAACUCUGUGCCCAGCCUGGUUCCACCCACACUGCACCAACCUUUCUCCAGUGAGGAGGAUGGCACAACAGAUCUCAUUUUCAACAGGAGGGAACCGAGGCUCACACAGUGGAAGCCAUGUGCACGGUCACCCAGCGGAUGAUGCCAAAGCCUCCAUUUAAGUUCAAGUCUGGUUGCGGAUGUCUAACCGUACGGUACAGCAGGUCCAAAGGUGUCACCCCCGGGCGGGGGGGGUAUGAGUGGCAAGCCCACCCACCUUGCUAUCCACCACCUUGAUCUCCUUGGCCCAGUCCCACACAGAGAGCACAUGAUCAUUGGAUUCAUCCACCGCACACAGCAGGUUGCCCCCAUUCUGUGGAACACAGAGAGGUGGGUUAGGACACCUUUCCCCACACACACCUGUCCGUAGACAUUCACAGGCAUGAUAUAGGAAGCACAUUUGUGUUGGUCAGUGUUCACUGCCAACCGGUACGACCUAGAAUCCUGCAGGAAGUGAGUCUCAGUGAGGGCUUAUCUCUGGUCUCUGGGCAUGUUUGUGGGGGAGUCCCUUAAUUAUCCUGAGAUGAGAAACCCCCCCCACCCGCCCACACCCACUGGAGGCAGCACCAUUCCCUCAGCAGGGGAAUCUGAACUGUGUAAAAGUGGGAAACGUGAACUGAGCGUUAGCAUAAGUGCGAGUUGGGAUAGUCCUUUUGUGCAGUGUAAAGCUUGUCUUUGUAUUGUUCAAAUGCUGGUUUCUGUACCAGCAGAGAGUUUAGAUCAGGAGAGACUUUGGUAUUGUUCCUUUAUAUGAAGCAUCCUAAUACUCAGGAGGCAGAGGCAGGCAGGUCUCUGUAAGCUUGAAGCCAGCCUGGUCUAUAGAGCUAGUUCAAGGACAGCUAGGGCUACACAAAGAAAGUCUUGGAAAAAAUAAAAGCCAGGCGUGGUGGUGCACACCUUUAAUCCUAGCACUCAGGGAGGCAGAGGCAGGCAGAUCACUCUGAGUUUGAGGUCAUCCUGGUCUAGGUCUACAAAGCUGUUCCAGGACAGCCAAGGCUACACAGAGAAAUCCCAUCUCAAAAAGAAAAAAAAAAAAAAAAGAAAAAGAAAAAAAUUACCCUAUGUAAAAAAAAAUCUUUUUUUGUGUGUGAUAUUGGGGAUGGAAACUGUCAUAUUCUAGGCAAGGGCUCUAUAGCUUAGCCACACCCCAGCCCCUCACUGGGGAAUUCUAGGCAGGGGCUCUACCACUAAGCCACACCCCAGCCCCUCACUGGGGGAUUCUAGGCAGGGACUCUACCCCUGAGCCACACCCCAGCCCCUCACUGGGGGAUUCUAGGCAGAGGCUCUACCACUGAGCCACGCCCCAGCCCCUCACUGGGGGAUUCUAGGCAGGGGCUCUAGCACUGAGCCCCUUGUCUUGGCUUAAAGAAAGGGCCUCACUUGUUUGCCCAGGAUAUGAGCCAGUGAGAUGGCUCAGUAAGUGUGUUUGCUGCCAAACGUGAUUUCAAUUCCCAGGAUUUAUAUGGUGGAAAGAGAGAAUUGACUUCUGUGAGCUGUUUUCUGACCACACAUAUGGUACAAAUGCAUGCGCACAAACAAAAUGAACAAAUGUUAAAAUUUCUCAAUUAGUUAAAAGGCCCGGGCUUGCCUUGAACUUAUUUUGGCUUCAGCCGCAUUAUUAUCCAGGAAAUCUGGAGUACGCAAUCAUGUCCCGCCUCUUACAGAGUUUUACAAUGACUCAUCCCUAAGAAAAUUUGCAGCCUGCACAGUUGGGGAUUUCUUCUUUACUUUUCAAUUUUUAUUUUAUUAUUUUAUGUGUAUGGGUAAUUUUGCCUGCAAGUAUUUUUGUAUACUAUAUGUGUAGUGUCCAUGGAGGCUAGAAGAGCAGAUCCACUGAAACUGGAGCUACGGACAUUUGUGAACCACCAUGUGGGUGCUGGGAAUCAAACCUGAGUCCCCUGAAAGAGCAGAAAGUGCUCUUAACUGCUGAGCCAUCUCUUCAGCCCCCACACUUGGGGAUUCUUUUCUGUUUGUUUUGUUUUUUCUGCAACAGGGUUUCUCUGUGUAGCCUUGGCUGUCCUGAAACUAACAGUGUAGACCAGGCUGGCCUUGAACUCACAGCCUCUGCCUCCCAAGUGCUGAGACUAAAGGUGUGCACCACCACCACCCAGCUCACAGCUGGGAGUUCUUUUGUUGUUGUUUUGUUUUUGGAGACAGGGUUUCUCUGUGUAGCCUUGGCUUUGUAGACCAGGCUGGCCUGGAACUUACAGCGGUCUGCCUGCCUCUGCCUCCUGGGUGCUGAGAUUAAAGGCUUGCACCACCAUGCCCAGCUAUAGUUGGGAAUUCUUGCUGACACCGUCUACUCUGCACUGUCAUAAGGAAUGAGGGACACUGAAACAGGGCCCUGCUGCGGACUCCCUGACUUGCCUCCAACUCACUAUUUAGCCCAGGCUGGCCUCAACCUACGGUGAACCCUGCCUGUCUCUCCAGUGACUGUUUUUUUUCCCCUCCCCAUUUGGUGCUGGAGAUGGAAUUCAGGCAGUUUGUAGGCUUGGCAAGCGCUCUGACACUGGACCACGCCUCCAUCCCUGGAAUGGCUUUUUAAGUACAUGAAAUCCAGCCAUUAUCAAUGUUGGCUGCAGGACUUGGGGAGGUGGAGCUGGCAAGAUGGCUCGCUCAGUGAGUAACGGUGCGCGUUGCCAAUUCUGACCCGAGUUCUGACCCUAGGACGGCACAAUUGGCAGAAAGAGAAAGGCAACUCCAAGCCGUUCUUGACCUCCACAGGAAUGCUGAGGCACUUGUGUGUAUGUACGUGUGCAAACACACCCACAAUAAGUAAAUGAAUAAACGUUUUUUAAAAAGACAA